rnacentral:rRNA from 1 species
AUUGAACGCUGGCGGCAUGCCUUACACAUGCAAGUCGAACGGCAGCACGGGAGCUUGCUCCUGGUGGCGAGUGGCGAACGGGUGAGUAAUGCAUCGGAACGUGCCCUGAAGUGGGGGAUAACGUAGCGAAAGUUACGCCAAUACCGCAUAUUUUGUGAGCAGGAAAGCAGGGGGAUCUUCGGACCUUGCGCUUUUGGAGCGGCCGAUGUCGGAUUAGCUAGUUGGUGGGGUAAAGGCCCACCAAGGCGACGAUCCGUAGCGGGUCUGAGAGGAUGAUCCGCCACACUGGAACUGAGACACGGUCCAGACUCCUACGGGAGGCAGCAGUGGGGAAUUUUGGACAAUGGGCGCAAGCCUGAUCCAGCCAUGCCGCGUGAGUGAAGAAGGCCU